GGCGAACGGGUGAGUAACGCGUGAGGAACCUGCCUCAAAGAGGGGGACAACAGUUGGAAACGACUGCUAAUACCGCAUAAGCCCACGGUGCCGCAUGGCACAGAGGGAAAAGGAGCAAUCCGCUUUGAGAUGGCCUCGCGUCCGAUUAGCUAGUUGGUGAGGUAACGGCCCACCAAGGCAACGAUCGGUAGCCGGACUGAGAGGUUGAACGGCCACAUUGGGACUGAGACACGGCCCAGACUCCUACGGGAGGCAGCAUG
rnacentral:rRNA from 1 species